GCAGACCAUCAAGAUCGACGGGAAGCAGAAAUUUUUGCAGUAGGCAAUUUGUGGAAAUAGUUUCAGUUGGUAUUUACCUCGAAAAGCUUAUCGAUACCCUUCUUCCAGACGCAUCGGACGGGCUUCUCAAGGGAAUAAUCUGGAAUCGUGGCCAGCCUUUACUAAAGCUCUUGUCCCAUAUUUGGUAUCCGUUAUAUAAAAAUCUGCUGUCAAUCUCUGUCCAAGACUAUUCAAAUGGUGGGACUGAAAGCAACUUAAGUCAAGAAUAACAGAGGUCCAGUUUGCAGCGACAGGUUCAAACUGAUGCUUCUUGUAUUUGCAUGAGAGGUUAAGUGAGAAGGGGGUUUUACAGAGAGAAACAAGCUUAUGACAGUAAAAGAUGCCAGAUCAUCAUUAUACGUCUGGGUUAAACAGCUUUGAAACGAUACAAUAAAGGAAGGACAAAAGUUAUUAUUUCUCUGGAUAGAAUUUGGAACAGACGAAAGUCUGAGAAAUAUUUGAAGAUAUUGAACAUUACUGAUGAGCAUACCUCAACGUAAGCUAAAUUCCACUGGAAGCAUCGGGCAGUUAAGACGGGCUUGCUUUAACUGGCAUCCGAUAUUCAUACAAGGGUUGAUGUGUAAACACAUUUUCCAGCCUUUUCAUAUGAAGAUUCGAGAGAGAAAUCUCCACAAGAAGCAAACUAAGACAAUGGGAAAAA